ACAUCUAUGGCAUAAUGGUUAGGGAGCUGGGCUUGUAUCCCAGAGGUUGCAGGUUUGAUUUCCAUAUGGGGUU
rnacentral:tRNA from 1 species